rnacentral:rRNA from 1 species
AUUGAACGCUGGCGGCAGGCCUAACACAUGCACGUCGAACGAGUGGCGGACGUGUGAGUAAUGUUUGGGAAUCUGUCUGAUGGCUGGGGAUAACUACUGACUACUGUAGCUAAUACCGCAUACCAUCAGAUGAGCCCAAGUGGGAUUAGCUGGUUGGUGGGGUAAAGGAUCACCAAGCCGACGCUCCCUAGCUGGUCUUAGAGGAUGACCAGCCAAACGGGAACUGAGACACGGACAAGACUCCUACGGGAGGCAGCAGUGGGGAAUAUUGGACAAGGGGCGCAACCCUGAUGCAGCCAUGCCGCGUGUAUGAAGAAGGCCUUCGGGUUGUAAAGUACUUUCAGAAGGGAGGCGUUACCUACAGAAGAAGCACCGGCUAACUCCGUGCCAGCAGCCGCGGUAAUAC